rnacentral:rRNA from 1 species
GACGAACGCUGGCGGCGUGCUUAACACAUGCAAGUCGAACGGAAAGGCCCUGCUUUUGUGGGGUGCUAGAGUGGCGAACGGGUGAGUAACACGUGAGUAACCUGCCCUUGACUUUGGGAUAACUUCAGGAAACUGGGGCUAAUACAGGAUAGGAGCUCCUGCUGCAUGGUGGGGGUUGGAAAGUUUCGGCGGUUAGGGAUGGACUCGCGGCUUAUCAGCUUGUUGGUGAAGUAGUGGCUUACCAAGGCUUUGGCGGGUAGCCGGCCUGAGAGGGUGAACGGCCACAAUGGGACUGAGAUACGGCCCAGACUCCUACGGGAGGCAGCAGUGGGGAAUAUGGCACAGUGGGCGGAAGCCUGAUGCAGCAACGCCGCGUUCGUGAUGACGGCCUUCGGGGUGUAAACCGCUGUCGCCUGUGACGAAGCGUGAGUGACGGUAAUGGGUAAAGAAGCACCGGCUAACUACGUG